rnacentral:lncRNA from 1 species
CUAGCAUUGAUUUUUUUUUGUUCUUAGUGUAUUUUUAUUCAUUGGUUUUCAUCUUAUCUAAUCACUCUUUAUACACUCUAAAAACAUUCCAUAUAAUUAUUCCUUCUGCUUCCUCACUGUCACCUCCCAGGAAUACCAUCUUGAAUUGGUAACACAAAUAAUUGGUGACCAAUGCCAAUGGGUUACCCUAUACAGCACAUAACUCCCAGCUCAUUAAAACAAGUUCUUUUGUAUCCACCCGUGGAAGAUGUCCUAGGCCUUCGGUUUCUAGAACAUAUUAGUUUUUUGGUACUCACUUUGAGCUAAAAUGCCAGUGGAUUAUGGGAUGUGAGCAACUAACAGUUAAAUUCCAGUUUCUCUGUCUCAUCUGAUCAUCAAAGAGGCUAAAGUGGGGUCCAUGUUCUGAUGUUCUCAGCAAAGACCCCUGUCCGCCUCCCUUCUUUGAACUGAAAAUGUUGUUCCCACCAGAAUGAAUCAGAAUCCAAUAGGAGCGUGCAGCCACAUCAAGGUAAUUUAAUUUGGAAAGCAUGCCACCAGAGGGCACGGAGAGGAGGAAUAUUGGCACACUGGCUGACGGACUGCCUGCUUUUGCAACAUCUGUAUCCAUCUUGGAUGGCAUUUGGCCAUUGUCCAGAGAAAAGCUGGUUUUUUUCCUGCUCAGCUUUGUUUUGGUACCAGUGCAUUACAGAGUUUAUGAAACAUCCUUCCUGACAAAUAUUUAAAAUGAAAUGCUAUUGUUCUGGAAUGGCUGUUGGCACAGGCCUGUGGAGGGGAAGGGGCUGCACUUAGUAACCUCUGGGGGACUCUUGAGGUCUUGGAGCUGCUGAAUUUCUAUUGUAACCCCAGUUAUACCUAACUGCUUCUUCUAUAAAAAUCACUCUCAAAGGCCUCCCUUUACUGGAAGAGAAAUGAGAGGCCCUGAGUCUUUCUGGGAUUGCUAUUUUGGCACUCGGCCUCUACCUGUGUCUCUGUCCAGCGCAUCCCCAAAGCUUGGUCCUGGGCCACAUCAGAGAAGCCUGGCUCUGGCCCAGAGGGGCUGAGUUGAAAGCCCUCUAUAGCUCCUAAGACAGCUCCAUCACUCCCCAUCUCAAGGUCAGAUGGCACACAGAGUGGCUCUGUACCCCCCUCCCCCCACCACCUACCUGCCUUCUGGUCUACAUGCACCCCUAUCACCUAGAAAAGGCACCAGAAUGUCUUUGCAGUGAUCUGUUUCAUUGCUUCUGCCUCAACGACAACAGACACCCCUGGGGAAAGCGCGUGGUUUCAACAAUAGUUUAUGAUGUGGAAGCUGAAAAGGUGGCGGAGGAAGAACAUUUUAGCUCAGCUGUUGUGAGCCCUAGAUUGCCAGCUCGGUUCGUGAACAAUGGAGCACUCGGACCCAUGAAAGCCACAGAAAUCACCUUCGAUUAGACCUGGCACUGGGACGGUCCAACACUUAGCAGCCUUGAGAACACAGCUGUGUGUGGAGGACUAGCACGUCCUUCCCUGCAAGUCUGCCGGGCUCACACUUUCCUUUAGAAAAGUCACUGCCGCGUAGGCGCACAGCAGACCCUCCAUGCCUAGACAUCAAAAUCCCUGCAUGACAAUCUCCAUAGAGUAACGCUGACAUCCCAUUGGGACAAAAGACAUAGAAAGUCAGAAGCGCAGCAAAACCGAGGCACAGCUAACCUUCUCAAACACAGGUCUGGUGUAAAUGUUGAUAAAUGCUGGCUUCCAUGUGUGCACACACACAUGCACCUAACACACACCCUCUUCCCACACAGCAGAUCCAGUUUCCCUGUAACACGGCUUGUUUCCAGACAACAGGCAAGGUGAAGCCCCCACCCCCCGGUCCCCCCAUUCCUGUGAUGGAGCCAGUAUCUGCUGAAUGAGCAGACUGCGCUCCAAACCCAGCAUCUGGGGUAUAAGAACUCAGAUCCUGGAGCUUAUUUCAAGGUCAAUUUGCUUCAGAAUCAAAACCCAUUUGCCAUAACAUAGAGAGAUGCCAGAGAGAGGAGGAGGGCAGCAGGAAGGGAAGGCACAUUCAUUAAAACAGCUGUCGGAAAUACACACACACACACUCACACACACUCACAACCCGGGUAUUUCCAAAACCCUGCCUUGAUCUGAGGUUUUUCCUCCCUGUCCUCUCUGUCCUGAUGAUAUGCUCGGCCAGCGGAGGAGUGGGGCUGGGGAAGAGGACUGUCCCUGUAUCUUGUCAUCUUGGGUUACAAACGGGAGCCAUCUCCCCGGCACAGUUGCUGCCUGCCCACUCAUUCCGAGUCACCAGGCCAUUACUAAACUAUUACCAGUUCCUUGCAGACAUUUUCCUGAGCCAGUGACAGAUUUCUUUGAGCCCAGGAGGAAAGCUGGGGGUGUCAGAGAGAAUUGGCACAGGCAAUUUUCACCUCAUUGUCAAAUUGCUUUCUCUGUUUUCUGAUGGCCUGGCUCUCCCCUGCCCUGUCUGCGGUCAUUUCCUAUUCCCUAGUUUGGAGAAAUAUUUCUUUUUCCUCUGCUGUUUAGCUCCUAAGCCCUGUUCCUAGGCAGUGGGGGUCUGCCUUGAGCCGAUUGCCAGACACUGCCUCAGCGGGAGGAGGAGAAGGGGGCGCAGGCAGGAGGCACAAGAGAGGCAGGUGUGGGCAGGGGACAACCACGCACCAGCUUGUCCCCUGACACAAUCUACUCUUCGCCUGGUCCUCCUGAGCAGAGCUGGGAAUGGUUAUUGGCACAUGAGUUGUACGCCUUGAGGAAAGAGGCUCUGUACGUGCCUAAAAUCCGGGAACCCUCCAAAAGCAGCAAAAGCAUUGGUCUGUUAGUUGCAAGGACUCCACUGAUGGUCCCAGCGAGACAAUGAAGAAAAAGCCAAUUUGCUGAAUAUACGCAUGCUAGUGCCACACUCUGCUCUUAUAGUGACGGUCACUGGGGGCGCUGAUGACACUCUCAACCUCAGCUCUCGUGGGGCCCGCUCCAGGAAUACGCAGGCCAUGCCCUAGGUCACUGCCAAAGGUCAGCAGAGGUCAUGUUCACUUACUGCAAAGUUGGGUUGUCUCUUCCUCAGCUGAACCAACCUU